rnacentral:lncRNA from 1 species
UUGCUCUAAAAGAAAAAUAGACUCUUGAUGCAUUGACCUAUCUUCCCUUUCCUCUUGCGUCACUCACUGUCUCACUCGCCUUAGUGUUUCGCACAGAUCUCUUCCCCUCUGCUAAAACUCGCAUAGUCUCAUUCAUUGCCUCCUCUCAUCAUAUUCUCACUUUCAAAUCUCGUUCUUGCUCGCACUAGGUUUCUUUUAACCUUCAUAUAAGUGAAUAAAAGAACCCCGUCCUUAUAUAUAUAUUGUUUUGUUAGAUACGCCAAUACGCCAUGAUGGUUUUGUUUUUGUAUUUUAGGGUUUUUGAUUUGUUUUUCUAUUCUCUUGAUCCUUCAAAUUUUAUUUUGCUUUGCUAUCUACUUUAUCAAAUAGAUUUUUGGGCUUGUAUUGUUGUUCAUAGCUUGCUGCAGUUGAGGGUUAUUGAAUUGGUAAGUUUCCUCAUCAAUUUAGCUUAUGUUUUCUCUUUUCAUUAAUAAGUUGAUAAUUUACUAAUCAUAAAGUAAAAAGUGUCACAAAAGAGAAUAUACUUGCAUUCACAAAAGUUUAAUAGUUCGCACCAUGUGUAGGUUUUAGGCUUUGUUAGAAAAUCAUAGUCUCAAGGACAAAGGUGUGAUGACUUUUAUUAUAGAUGCUUGAAAAAAAUUACCAAUUAAUCAAUUUGUAGGUUUUAAUUAAAGAGUUUCCUAUUGUUUUGUUUUUUAAGUUGUGUAAUACUAGUAUUUUGAGAGAGGUUGUGACUCUUAAAAAAUGAAAGAUAUAUCUUAUAAGAAACUUUAGUGAGAUGUUAU